UACGGGGGGGGCAAGCGUUGUUCGGAAUUACUGGGCGUAAAGGGCUCGUAGGUGGCCAACUAAGUCAGACGUGAAAUCCCUCAGCUUAACUGGGGAACUGCGUCUGAUACUGGAUGGCUUGAGUUUGGGAGAGGGAUGCGGAAUUCCAGGUGUAGCGGUGAAAUGCGUAGAUAUCUGGAGGAAUACCGGUGGCGAAGGCGGCAUCCUGGACCGACAUUGACGCUGAUGAGCGAAAGCUAGGGGAGCAAACGGG
rnacentral:rRNA from 1 species